rnacentral:ncRNA from 1 species
UUCAAAAGGGGUGCUUAUGGUUAAAUACUAUAGGCUGAGAACAUACCCAUAUUACCUGUACGGAUAAUGCCGGCGUAGGGAAUCUGAA